UCACUCCUCCCCUUUUCCUUCACUGAACACCUGCAUCUUCCAGGAUACAGCUGCUCCACUUGAAAUUUAUCUGCGGCAGUGACGGGCGGCUAUCAUCUGGCACGGAAUCAAGCCGUGGGCUCUAUGUGGCAGCUGCGACCGGCCCCAGCAUCCUCCAUCCCGCUGACCACCGGCGGACGGUGCACGUCCAGGUAGUCUGGGAGGAAUCUUUCCAGUGCAGCCGGAUCUCUGUGGCGGUGUCUUGUCCAGCAGCCUCACGCCUGCCUUCCGUAUUUGUCUACACGGCAUACACCGGGUGAACAUCAGCAGGUCAAUUGAGCUCAACUCAGCAGUUGGUUUACACAUCCAGAUACCCUCCAGCUUUACAAUCUACUGGGCAAGUUCUGGACUCACCCGGGGACGCUCCGGUCUGCCAGCCCUUAUGGAGAGUUCUUCCCGGAACCAAUUCGACUGUAAUCCCGUCCUCUGGUAUAAUAUCGGGUAUUCUAGAAGACAACAUUUGGCCACCUGCCAUCAAUUGAAGCUUGGCUGAUAUUGAACCAUGCAACAGCACAACGAAAGUUGGAUGUCCAGAAAAAUAAUUGGGCCGCUGAAUCUAGAGAAGCCUAACCCAUUGCUGAACAACAUUGGGCCCCUCAUAGUACCAAUGGGCAGAGAGUUCUAGGUAUCUAAGAAUGUAAACCAAUAGUGUCUGCUGUGGUGGCACAAAAAGGGCCAGCGUACAAUGGUGUACAGGAGGAGCACAGUGGACACUACAGGUAUUGCAGCCCUUUGUGUAAAGAAUAAAUAAUUGUUACUCUUUUGUGUAAAUAAUUGUGACCAUUUUUGUAAAUAAUAAAUGUGAAUGGACAA